rnacentral:misc_RNA from 1 species
GAUGAAGAACGCAGUGAAAUGCGAUAAGUAAUGUGAAUUGCAGAAUUCAGUGAAUCAUCGAAUCUUUGAACGCACCUUGCACCCUUUGGCUAUUCCGAAGGGUAUGCCUGUUUGAGUAUCAUGAACACCUCAACUCUCAUGGUUUGCCAUGAUGAGCUUGGACUUUGGGGGUCUUGCUGGCCUGUGGUCAGCUCCUCUCAAAUGGAUUAGCUUGCCAGUGUUUGGUGGCAUCACAGGUGUGAUAACUAUCUACGCUUGUGGUUUUCCACCAGGUACCCUUCAGCAAUGGGGGUUCGCUGGGGCUCAUAAAUGUCUCUCCUCAGCGAGGACAGCUCUUUGAACGUUUGAUCUCAAAUCAGGUAGGACUACCCGCUGAACUUAAGCAUAUCAAUAAGCGGAGGA